UACGGGGGGGGCAAGCGUUGUUCGGAAUUACUGGGCGUAAAGGGCUCGUAGGCGGCCAACUAAGUCAGACGUGAAAUCCCUCGGCUUAACUGGGGAACUGCGUCUGAUACUGGUUGGCUUGAGUGCAGGAGAGGAAUGCGGAAUUCCAGGUGUAGCGGUGAAAUGCGUAGAUAUCUGGAGGAACACCGGUGGCGAAGGCGGCAUUCUGGACUGCAACUGACACUGAAAGACGAAAGCCAGGGGAGCAAACGGG
rnacentral:rRNA from 1 species